rnacentral:misc_RNA from 1 species
GUAUUCUUUAUUUUUAUUUUUAAUCCAUUACAAUCUUUUCAUUUUUAUUUUUAUAAAGAAUAAGUAAAAUUUAUCAAUAAAUGUUGAGUGUAAUGGUAAAGCUCAUUGCGUUCUCAAGGGAGAACUCAAGUUUGAUCUUUGAAAAAUGUGUUAUUGGGAGGGGCAACCAUGAACUCUAAAGGGAUUAAUUUUCUUUGAACUGUAAAACAGAUAUAAAGAAUAAUAUAAAAAAAAAAUAAUAAGCAAAAUAAGCUUAAUUCUAUAUAUAUAUAUAUAUA